rnacentral:rRNA from 1 species
AGCGGAGGAAAAGAAACCAACCGGGAUUGCCUUAGUAACGGCGAGUGAAGCGGCAAAAGCUCAAAUUUGAAAUCUGGUACCUUCGGUGCCCGAGUUGUAAUUUGGAGAGGGCAACUUUGGGGCCGUUCCUUGUCUAUGUUCCUUGGAACAGGACGUCAUAGAGGGUGAGAAUCCCGUGUGGCGAGGAGUGCGGUUCUUUGUAAAGUGCCUUCGAAGAGUCGAGUUGUUUGGGAAUGCAGCUCUAAGUGGGUGGUAAAUUCCAUCUAAAGCUAAAUAUUGGCGAGAGACCGAUAGCGAACAAGUACAGUGAUGGAAAGAUGAAAAGAACUUUGAAAAGAGAGUGAAAAAGUACGUGAAAUUGUUGAAAGGGAAGGGCAUUUGAUCAGACAUGGUGUUUUGUGCCCUCUGCUCCUUGUGGGUAGGGGAAUCUCGCAUUUCACUGGGCCAGCAUCAGUUUUGGUGGCAGGAUAAAUCCAUAGGAAUGUAGCUUGCCUCGGUAAGUAUUAUAGCCUGUGGGAAUACUGCCAGCUGGGACUGAGGACUGCGACGUAAGUCA